rnacentral:tRNA from 1 species
GAGGGUAUAGCUCAGUGGUACAGCGCAAGCUUAGCGUGCACGAGGUCCUGGAUUCAAUUCCCAGUACCUCCA